AGUGAAGAGGAAAGAGCUCAAAGUUGGAAUCCGGUUGCCCUAGGUAAUUGGAAUUGUAAACUGGAGAGGUGUUUUCCAGGCGAGCCAAGCAAAUAAGUCCUUUGGAACAGGGCAUCAUAGAGGGUGAGAAUCCCGUCUUUGGCUUGAGCAUUGCCUUUUGCGAUACACUUUCAAAGAGUCAGGUUGUUUGGGAAUGCAGCCUAAAUUGGGUGGUAAAUCUCACCUAAAGCUAAAUAUUGGCGAGAGACCGAUAGCGAACAAGUACCGUGAGGGAAAGAUGAAAAGAACUUUGAAAAGAGAGUUAAACAGUAUGUGAAAUUGUUGAAAGGGAACCGUUUGGAGCCAGACCGGCUGCUCUAUAAUCAAUCUCUGCUUCGGUAGGGAUGCACUUGUAGGGCUUUAGCCUGCCAACAGCAAUUUUCUUUGGUGGAAAAAACUAGAAGGAAUGUGGCCCCUCGGGGUGUUAUAGCCUUUUAGAAAAUACACUGAAGGGGAUUGAGGACUGCAGCAAAUGCUUUUGGCGAAAUAACUAGGUGCUUGUGUUAAGGACGUAUAGAAUCUCUGCUUCGGGUGGUGCUAUGCUCUGCGAUGCAACUCGCUUAGACUAUUUUCUAUUUGCUUAGGUUGUUGGCUUAAUGACUCUAAAUGAC
rnacentral:rRNA from 1 species